GCCCAGGUGGUGGAAUUGGUAGACACGCAAGGUUGAGGGCCUUGUGGCCGUUAUAGGCCGUGAAAGUUCGAGUCUUUUCCUGGGCACAA
rnacentral:tRNA from 1 species